AAAAAAACCAAAAAAACCACGAGGAAACUGAGAAACAAGGUCAAAUGCCCAGCACUCAGAGUGGCAGAGCCAGCAAUGGAACUCGGGCAGAGCGCAGGGAAGCCUGUCACUUGCUUAAAAGAUUACGUCCAGCGGUUUUCCAAUGUGUGAGUGUCUUUGCACAUGUUUGAAAACUGGUAAGAAAAGAUGACUUAUUGGAAGGGAGCAGAUUGGUGGUUUUAAUUGGGUGCCGACUAUUCACUAAAAGUGAGCCAAGACACACCUGUGUGCACGCUUUGGUGGAGAUAUGCCUUUGGACAUGCCAGUGGGGUUGGAGGCGAUGCUGGGCAUAGAGAGUGGGUGGCUGAGCCUCCUUCCUGAGCUGCUGUUUGUUUUGAGCUUAAGGGCCUGUAGAGACUCUGCCUCCUCUGCUGGUUGCCAC
rnacentral:lncRNA from 1 species